CAGUCGCCACGGUAAUGCAGAGGGUGCGAGCGUUAAUCGGAUUUACUGGGCGUAAAGCGUGCGUAGGCGGCUUUUUAAGUCGGAUGUGAAAUCCCCGAGCUUAACUUGGGAAUUGCAUUCGAUACUGGGAAGCUAGAGUAUGGGAGAGGAUGGUAGAAUUCCAGGUGUAGCGGUGAAAUGCGUAGAGAUCUGGAGGAAUACCGAUGGCGAAGGCAGCCAUCUGGCCUAAUACUGACGCUGAGGUACGAAAGCAUGGGGAGCAAACAGGAUUAGAUACCCCCGUAGUCCAUGUCUCUUAUAC
rnacentral:rRNA from 1 species